rnacentral:misc_RNA from 1 species
CCAAUAGCGUAUAUUAAAGUUGUUGUGGUUAAAAAGCUCGUAGUUGAACCUUGGGCCUGGCUGGCCGGUCCGCCUCACCGCGUGUACUGGUCCGGCCGGGCCUUUCCCUCUGUGGAACCUCAUGCCCUUCACUGGGUGUGACGGGGAAGCAGGACUUUUACUGUGAAAAAAUUAGAGUGCUCCAAGCAGGCCUAUGCUCGAAUACAUUAGCAUGGAAUAAUAAAAUAGGACGUGCGGUUCUAUUUUGUUGGUUUCUAGGACCGCCGUAAUGAUUAAUAGGGACAGUCGGGGGCAUCAGUAUUCAAUUGUCAGAGGUGAAAUUCUUGGAUUUAUUGAAGACUAACUACUGCGAAAGCAUUUGCCAAGGAUGUUUUCAUUAAUCAGGAACGAAAGUUAGGGGAUCGAAGACGAUCAGAUACCGCCCUAGUUCUAACCAUAAACGAUGCCAACCAGCGAUCAGCCUGAGUUACCUACAGAAUUGACUCGGCUGGCAGCUUCCG